rnacentral:rRNA from 1 species
UACGUAGGGUGCAAGCAUUAAUCGGAUUUAUUGGGCGUAAAGGGCGCGUAGGCGGGGAAGUCAGUCAGAUGUGAAAUCCCGGAGCUCAACUCCGGAACAGCAUUUGAAACUUCUUCUCUAGAGGGUAGGCGGAGAAAACGGAAUUCCACAAGUAGCGGUGAAAUGCGUAGAUAUGUGGAAGAACACCAGUGGCGAAGGCGGUUUUCUAGCUUACACCUGACGCUGAGGCGCGAAAGCAAGGGGAGCAAACAGG